GAUGAACGCUGGCGGCGUGCUUAACACAUGCAAGUCGAACGAUGAAGCCCAGCUUGCUGGGUGGAUUAGUGGCGAACGGGUGAGUAACACGUGAGUAACCUGCCCUUGACUCUGGGAUAAGCCCGGGAAACUGGGUCUAAUACCGGAUAGGAGCGCCUGUCGCAUGACGGGUGUUGGAAAGAUUAUUCGGUCAUGGAUGGACUCGCGGCCUAUCAGCUUGUUGGUGAGGUAAUGGCUCACCAAGGCGACGACGGGUAGCCGGCCUGAGAGGGUGACCGGCCACACUGGGACUGAGACACGGCCCAGACUCCUACGGGAGGCAGCAGUGGGGAAUAUUGCACAAUGGGCGGAAGCCUGAUGCAGCGACGCCGCGUGAGGGAUGACGGCCUUCGGGUUGUAAACCUCUUUCAGUAGGGAAGAAGCGAAAGUGACGGUACCUGCAGAAGAAGCACCGGCUAACUACGUG
rnacentral:rRNA from 1 species